AUCCUGCAGAGAUGCGGGAGUGCCUUCGGGAACGAUAAGCCAGGUGCUGCAUGGCUGUCGUCAGCUCGUGUCGUGAGNAUGUUGGGUUAAGUCCCGCAACGAGCCGCAACCCUUGCCCUUAGUUGCCAUCAUUAAGUCGGGAACUCUAAGGGGACCGCCGGUGACAAACCGGAGGAAGGUGGGGAUGACGUCAAGUCAUCAUGGCCCUUAUGGCCAGGGCUACACACGUGCUAAAUGGUCGGUACAAAGGGUUGCCAACCCGCGAGGGGGAGCUAAUCUCAGAAAGCCGAUCGUAGUCCGGAUUGCAGUCUUGCACUCGACUGCAUGAAGUCGGAAUCGCUAGUAAUCGUGAGUAGCGAUG
rnacentral:rRNA from 1 species